rnacentral:misc_RNA from 1 species
GAAAUGCGAUACUUGGUGUGAAUUGCAGAAUCCCGUGAACCAUCGAGUCUUUGAACGCAAGUUGCGCCCGAAGCCAUUAGGCCGAGGGCACGCCUGCCUGGGUGUCACACAUCGUUUCCCCAACGCAAACAUGUAACAAUGUUGCUGCGCGGGGUAACGAUGUGUGA